UACGUAGGGUGCGAGCGUUGCCCGGAUUUAUUGGGCGUAAAGGGCGCGUAGGCGGCUCUGCACGUCCGUUGUGAAAUCGCCCGGCUCAACUGGGCGGGGUCAGCGGAUACGGCGGAGCUUGAGCAAGCUAGGGGGCAAUGGAAUUCCCGGUGUAGUGGUGGAAUGCGUAGAUAUCGGGAGGAACACCAGUGGCGAAGGCGGUUGCCUGGG
rnacentral:rRNA from 1 species